rnacentral:rRNA from 1 species
AAGUCGUAACAAGGUUUUCCUAGGGAUUAAAUGAUCCUUCUAUGGGUGCAUUUACCGAAACCUUAGUGAACCAGAAAAUGGUUGGUCAAACGACAGUAAAUAAAUUGGCCCCUCGGUUAUAUUUAUUAUAAAUUUCAACUGGGGCACUGGUCCUUUUCUCAAAGGGCAACACCUUGAGUCUGCAGGGUCAUUCAUAAUGAGAACUACCUGCAGCCUGACGGCUACUACAUUGUCGGGCUCACAGACUAAAUAGUGGUGGGCGCUUGUGACAUCUCACGGCGUUUCAGAUAUAGUCGUAUCUUGACAUUAAAACUGUUAAGUACGUGCGCAUCUUCAACUAUGUCUUUAUAUAUAAUGAUAAAAUUUGUUCCGUAGGUGAACCUGCGGAAGGAUCAUUA